CUGCAUGGAUGACAUGGUCCAUAGUUAGUGCUCGUAAGAUGUACAUCGUGUGGGCUAGGUACCAAUCGAGUGGAACUGUUUUUCUAGUAUCGUUAGGGGAAAGGCAUUGAUAGGGUACUUACCUCGGGUAUGUUAUAUACCGCAAGUCAUGGAUGACACGGAAGUUUCCUGGAUCUCGUGGGUACAACAUACAACCUUUGCAGAGUGUUAAACUAUUCGAAUAGCUGUGUACACGGUCAAGGACAGUUGGGUAAUCCUGCUUAAACUACGUCUAGACGUUUCCGCAUAAAGCAAGUGUGAGUGUGUUAGUGUUCAAGGAGUUAUCUGAGUAAGAUUUGAUAUGACCAAGUUUGGUGACUUGGCAUAUUGGGUGAACCCGAAGUGUUCAUCCCAGAGCGGAUAUGUUGAUAUAUGUAACCUGUUCUUCUAAAUACCAUCUAGCUUAUGUUGCACAUCCAUCUAUGAUCAUGUUUAUUUACAAUCAAGUUGUUGUCCACCAAUACUGCAUAUUACUUGUUAUCAUAUCAACUGCAUUAUCCAUAUCAUGGGUUGUUUGCGAGUACAUUCAAAGUACUCACUGGCUUGUCACUGGUUAUGUUAUUGACCAGACAUGGAAGGAUCGAAGUUUGGAGAAUAAUUUGUCAUCGGAGACGGACUUGCGAACUAGGACACUUCCCAGUCAGAAUGCCUGUUGGUGUAGGUUGAUGGCAUGGGCACCCACUUAGCCCGAAGAUUACGCUAGUAGAUGUAUCGGUGUGAUUUGGCCUUAUAGGCCCUACCUAUGUGAACUUGACCUUCAUGGUCAUUUGAUGUACUAUUUCGGUAUGUGGGAUGUAAGACUCCUAUUAUUCAGUAUCUGUGUGUUCGGUGAGCAUUGAUCUCUGGGAUCAUUGACCACGUUC
rnacentral:lncRNA from 1 species